CAUUAGUGCGUGCCUUGCUGUUGCAAAGGCGUGGCGCACAAACACUUCACUAAUCGCCAGACGGUCUGGGCGUCCUAGGCGUCGUUUGCGCUGAGUUUGGUUCCGAGUCUGAAGAGCCUAGGAAUCCGAUGGAAAUGGUCUAGCUAGGAAACAGCUGAGACGCAGUUCAUGUGUUGAAGUAGCCGUUUAUUUAUUGAUACGUCUGAUAAAUAAACUCCGCGUCGUUGUGCACGCUGAUACAGAUCGCACUUAGUGCAUUUAGCGACGUCGUGGGCGGUCUGAAACCAGUCUCGAGGAUUGACGACGGCGGAGAGA